rnacentral:rRNA from 1 species
AGUGAACGCUGGCGGUAGGCCUAACACAUGCAAGUCGAACGGCAGCACAGUAAGAGCUUGCUCUUACGGGUGGCGAGUGGCGGACGGGUGAGGAAUACAUCGGAAUCUACUUUUUCGUGGGGGAUAACGUAGGGAAACUUACGCUAAUACCGCAUACGACCUACGUGUGAAAUCAUGGAAUCUUCUGACCUUGCGCGAUUGAAUGAGCCGAUGUCGGUUUAGCUAGUUGGCGGGGUAAAGGCCCACCAAGGCGACGAUCCGUAGCUGGUCUGAGAGGAUGAGCAGGCAAACUGGAAGGGGGAAACGGGCCAGAAGACUACGGGAGGGAGGAGUGGGGAAUAGUGGACAAUGGGGGGAAGGCGGAUCCAGGCAAACCGGGGGGGGGAAGAAGGGAUUAGGGGUGUAAAGGCCUUUUGGUGGGAAAGAAAAGGAGGAAGGUAAAAACCCGGUGUUCUGACGGGAACCAAAGAAAAAGCACCGGCUAACUUCGUG